AUUCCAGCUCCAAUAGCGUAUAUUUAAGUUGCUGCAGUUAAAAAGCUCGUAGUCGGUUUUCGGGCGGGUUGCGCCGGUCUGCCUUUGGUAUGCACUGGCGUGACCCGCUUUUCUGUCGGGGACGUGCUGCUGGGCUUCACUGUCCGGCACACGGAGUCGACGCUGUUACCUUGAGUAAAUUGGAGUGUUCAAAGCAGGCAUACGCUCUGAACAUAUUAGCAUGGAAUAACGAUAUAGGACUCUGGCCUAUUCGUUGGUCUGUGGGACCGGAGUAACGGCCAAUGGGGGCAGUCGGGGGCAUUCGUAUUUCGUUGUCAGAGGUGAAAUUCUUGGAUUUACGAAAGACGAACUGCUGCGAAAGCGUUUGCCAAGGAUGCUUUCAUCA
rnacentral:rRNA from 1 species